rnacentral:rRNA from 2 species
GGCCUUCGGGUCGUAAAGCUCUGUUGUGAGGGAAGAAGCGGUACCGUUCGAAUAGGGCGGUACCUUGACGGUACCUCACCAGAAAGCCACGGCUAACUACGUGCCAGCAGCCGCGGUAAUACGUAGGUGGCAAGCGUUGUCCGGAAUUAUUGGGCGUAAAGCGCGCGCAGGCGGCUUCUUAAGUCUGAUGUGAAAUCUCGGGGCUCAACCCCGAGCGGCCAUUGGAAACUGGGGAGCUUGAGUGCAGAAGAGGAGAGUGGAAUUCCACGUGUAGCGGUGAAAUGCGUAGAGAUGUGGAGGAACACCAGUGGCGAAGGCGACUCUCUGGUCUGUAACUGACGCUGAGGCGCGAAAGCGUGGGGAGCAAACA